rnacentral:lncRNA from 1 species
UCUCUCUUUAAGCAGUAUGCUGAAGGUGAAAUGAGAGAGGCAAUAGGAAAAAGUGCACCUUAUUCAAGUUCCUUUCAGGAUUUUGUUGUUUAGAAUUGUCAGAAGCAAGUCUUUGAAGCAUAAUGAUGCAGACUUUCCCCUCCAAACGGAUCCCUGUGGUAUACAGCAUACCAGCUCCCAAUGAUCCUGAAUAUGGAUCUGGACAGAGUCCUAAUCUUCACCAUCUCCAGUCUCCUCAAGAAGAAAUCUCAUAUGUGCAGCAUUCUUUCUUCAAACAGAUGAAUUUGCAUUUCUGGAGAAGAUGGCUUCUAGGAAUGUUACCUCUGAUUUCCUUAACAGUCACUGUACUCAUGUUGGUCCUGUACUAUUCAUUAUCUCCAGCGUUCUCCUUUAUCUAUAUUGGUGGAAGUGUAGAAAUACCUAACUUGACCUAUACCAGUGACCUCACUGAUCCAAAGUCACAGAAAUUUAUAAUGGAAGCAGAAGCAAUCCAGAGCUAUUUUGCAGAACUAUAUGAGUCUUCUACAUUAGGGAAAUAUUACUUGAAAUCUGUUGUUGCUGCAUUUAGGUAAGUCCUUUUCUAGAUGUACUAAAUGAAGUGUGUGUGUUGUGUUGUGUUUUUAAUGGCUUUCCUCGGAGGGAUAUGUAUAAUUUUAUAAUACAGGAAAUAAAGGCAAGUACAGUAGCA